GCCGGAGUAGCUCAGUUGGUAGAGCACUCGAUUUGUAAUCGAGAGCGCAGGGGUUCGAUUCCCCUCUCCGGCU
rnacentral:tRNA from 1 species